rnacentral:rRNA from 1 species
CCUACGGGGGGCAGCAGUGGGGAAUAUUGGACAAUGGGCGAAAGCCUGAUCCAGCCAUGCCGCGUGUGUGAAGAAGGCCUUCGGGUUGUAAAGCACUUUCAGUGGGGAAGAAAGCCUUGGGGCUAAUACCUUCGAGGAAGGACAUCACCCACAGAAGAAGCACCGGCUAACUCUGUGCCAGCAGCCGCGGUAAUACGGAGGGUGCGAGCGUUAAUCGGAAUUACUGGGCGUAAAGCGCGCGUAGGCGGUCUGAUAAGCCGGUUGUGAAAGCCCCGGGCUCAACCUGGGAACGGCAUCCGGAACUGUCAGGCUAGAGUGCAGGAGAGGAAGGUAGAAUUCCCGGUGUAGCGGUGAAAUGCGUAGAGAUCGGGAGGAAUACCAGUGGCGAAGGCGGCCUUCUGGACUGACACUGACGCUGAGGUGCGAAAGCGUGGGUAGCAAACAGGAUUAGAUACCCUUGUAGUC